UACGAAGGGUGCUAGCGUUGUUCGGAAUUACUGGGCGUAAAGGGCGCGUAGGCGGUGUGUCAAGUCAGGCGUGAAAGCCCCGGGCUCAACCUGGGAACCGCGCUUGAGACUGGCACGCUCGAGUUCGGGAGAGGAUGGUGGAAUUCCCAGUGUAGAGGUGAAAUUCGUAGAUAUUGGGAAGAACACCGAUGGCGAAGGCGGCUCUCUGGACCGAGACUGACGCUGAGGCGCGAAAGCGUGGGGAGCAAACAGG
rnacentral:rRNA from 1 species